UGUCUGUUGAAGGUAGCAGGUUGUACAUGGCGAGCGGGUUACUCACUGAGGGUUGGUGAUUGGUGUAAUGGAAGCUGUCUCUGAACCGCAUUUAAUGACGGAGAACUACAGAAGUGGAGAGAAAACGCAGCACUGAGCAACUUGUAGACUUCAUACCCGACUGUAGAAUCCCUUCUAUUGUGUGCUGGAAGAUCGCUGGACUUGAAGCACCUCCAAAUGGUGGCCUGUUUGUCCAAAGCCCAGGCUGACCCCCCACCCCUUCAACCUUUGCAGCAAUGCUGGCAGCACUAUUUCCCAAAGACAACCUCUGGAUAUGAUGCUGAGCACGUGCACUCAACUUCUUCUUUGGUCGACCAUGGCGAGGCCUGUUCUGAGUGGAACCUGUCCUGUUAAACCGCUGUAUGUUCUUGGCCACCGUGCUGCAGCUCAGUGUCAGGGUCUUGGUAAUCUUCUUAAAGCCUAGGCCAUUUUUAUGUAGAGCAAGAAUUCUUUUUUUCACAUCCUCAGAGAGUUCUUUGCCUUGAGGUGCCAUGUCGAAAUUCCAGUGACCAGUAUGAGGGAGUGUGAGGGUGAUGACACCAAAUUUUACACACCUGCUCCCCAUUCACACCUGAGACCUUGUAACAGUAACAAGUCACAUGACACCGGGGAGGGAAAAUGGCUAAUUGGGCCCGAUUUGGACAUUUUUACUUGGGGGUGUACUCACUUUUGUUGCCAGCGGUUUAGACAUUAAUGUGUGUUGAGUUAUUUUGAGGGGACAGCAAAUUUACACUGUUACACAAGCUGUACACUCACUACUUUACACUGUAGCAAAGUGUCAUUUCUUCAGUGUUGUCACAUGAAAAGAUAUCAUCAAAUAUUUACAAAAAUGUGAGGGGAGUUCUCACUUUAUUGUGAAAUACUGUACAUCUUUUUAUUUACUUUAAUAUUUAUUCAUAGUGUGUUUGUGUGUGUAUGUGUGUGUGUGUAUAUAUAUAUAUAUAUAUAUAUAUAUAUAUAUAUAUAUAUAUAUAUAUAUAUAUUUUUAUAUUAAAUAGAUAGAUCGAGCGAGCAACGGUAGCGUGUCUGACUCCAGAUCAGAAGGUUGCGUGUUCAAAUCACGUCGGGGUCAUUCAAUGCACUGGGGUGAGAUCUACCAUUUGAUCUUGAAAAUCUCCCUUAAUGUCCAGGGAAGGGAAACCAGCCAGGUUAUGCCUUUAAAGGGCUCGUGCCUUGUCCUCUGAAAGAGCUCUUGCCCAGAUGUCAGACACUAGUCGCAACAGUCACAGCCCACCACCUGUCUCCGAGUUCCAAUGCGUCUUGAUCGCCACGCCGAUGAACAAGUAUGCCUUGCACCAUGAUGCGCUAUAGGCUUCGAGCUGGGACCUCGUGGCACAACGGUAGUGCGUCUGACUCCAGAGCAGAAGGUUCAAAUCAUGUCGGGGUCAUUCAAUGUGCUCUUUUUCACACAGACCCAUGAUUUUCUGCGCAGUCUAAUAAGGAUGCUGUUAUAUGGACUCCAAUCUCUAUGAUGACCACCCAUGUCUUUGUCAACUUCAUGCUAAAAGGUAACAAAGCUUAGGUAGCGACACUCUCACCUAGUAACCAUUAGUAACUUGACAACCUGCUGAAUGUUUACCCUUAGUUUGCCCAUUUUGCUUGCUGAACAAAACAUGCUGGAAAGAGGCACCUUAGAUGGUUUCACUGGACCUCUCAGAGGAUCUGGAGGGUACUACAACACCCAAACAGGGACUUGAACCUUGGACCCUCAGAUUAAAAGUCUGAUGCUCUACCGACUGAGCUACCUGGGCUCGAGGAGAGAGAGAGCCCACUUUACCCUCGAGCUUGUAGGUCAGGCCUGUGGACGCUCUAGUUCAACGGUUCUCACAGACAUAAAUGGUGCUCAGCCCUUGGCUUGGAAAGGGCCCAUCCCAUCUGGUUCUCAUGGCUUUCUACAAACUAUUAACACAGCUCAGCACCACUAUUCAAGGAUACAAACCAACAGGGUUCAACCACGGCUCUGUCCUUCAUACUUCUUUACCCACUGACUGCCUGCAGUCUGAGACAUACAAAGAGACAAGGUUCUUGUGAAACCUGUAAAAUGGUGACGUUAACCAAGAGAAUGUUGAACUUUGGUCCUAUCUAUUAUGUUGGCCAGUUUCUAAGUUGAGAUCAACUUAACCCCAGUGCUUUCUGUUUAACGACCUUGUUCGUAUUUUUGUUUACAACUAGCACACUUUUGACCAGCAUGUCGCUUGGAAAUCGUUACCAGCAUAACUCUUAUUCGUAAGGCUCACUCUGGAGGCUUGUCUUGGUUCAAGGAAUGCCUUCGUGUCAUGGUAUGAGAACAAGUAGAAUAGCAUCAGCAUUUUUAAUUAAACUUGGCUUUUCUGCACAAGGAGGCCAAAAUUUCUAACAAACACGUUAAUUCCACACCACAAACUGACGUGUAAUCUUGGCUCUGUAUGCCUCGCAAAAAGCAGGUUUACGCCACCUUUGCCACUGAUUGCCCAUCGUCUGACACGUAUAAUGACACAAAGGCCUCGCACAAAUGGUAAAUGUGUGAAGUUACCCAGAAGAAGGCUGAACCAUGGUUCUAUCGCAUAGGCAGUUGAGUCCCUGAGUUGCGCUUCAGGUAUAAGUUGUCCACGCUUCACUCUCACGCACUGGGGUGAGAUCUACCAUUUGAUCUUGAAAAUCUCCCUUAAUGUCCAGGGAAGGGAAACCAGCCAGGUUAUGCCUUUAAAGGGCUCGUGCCUUGUCCUCUGAAAGAGCUCUUGCCCAGAUGUCAGACACUAGUCGCAACAGUCACAGCCCACCACCUGUCUCCGAGUUCCAAUGCGUCUUGAUCGCCACGCCGAUGAACAAGUAUGCCUUGCACCAUGGUGCGCUAUAGUUUUUGCGCUUGGACCUCGUGGCGCAAUGGUAGCGCGUCUGACUCCAGAUCAGAAGGUUGUGUGUUCAAAUCACGUCGGGGUCAUUCAAUGUGCUCUUUUUCACACAGACCCAUGAUUUACUGCGCAGUCUAAUAAGGAUGCUGUUAUAUGGACUCCAAUCUCUAUGAUGACCACCCAUGUCUUUGUCAACUUCAUGCUAAAAGUGCCCAAAGCCCGUGGUGGUGGCAGUGCAUGGCGUUUGUGUGGAAGCAGGUCUGUUGGGAGUGUUAAGUACCAUCAUCUCAUACACUCACCACAACUCUGGGAAGUUCCAUCCAUAUUGUUUGCUGUCACUUUUCCUGCAAAGCUUUAACCAUCAGAGAGUUAUCUUUUACUGGGGCUUUUAGCUGCAGGAGACUGAAUUACUAACAGUUUUUUUUUGUGGAUCUGAUUUCUUCUUUCGCAGGAGUGGAUCUAAUCACAGCCUGUGAUAUUCGUCUGUGCACACAGGAUGCCUGGUUUCAGGUGAAGGUAUGAGGAACAUUAACUUGCCAUACAUUGCUUGCUUACAUGUUUACACCAAGAUCUGUAAACAAGCUAUUUUUGUCCAUAUGAUCAUAUAUAGAGAUAGUAAGUGAUGAGAAGAUAAGAAUGGGCUGAUUGUUCUGACUCGUACAAGCCCCUAUGAAAGAGUUGACCACAAGGGGGCACACUCUGAACAAUUAUUUACAUUUGCAGUUUGUUGAAGAUUAAAUAAACCACAGUGAGCAUCAGAUGUCUGGUUUUAAUACAAAGUUUUAUGAUGAACUAUUUUAUGAUAUUACCAUCUUGUCAUUUAUCAAAGAAGAGCUACAAAACCUGAAAUUUGUUCAUUUUUAGACAGAAAAAUUCUGCAGUGUAGCUCUUCUAGUGGGCUUUCCCACUGGAUGUUUAGUCCAAAACAGAGCAGUUUGCAUGGAAAGUUGGUAAUGUGACCGUCGUAAUGUGGACUGGGAAGUGCACUGCGGUACCGAACCCGAGACUACCUGUAGAAGGUGGUCGAGUUCGGUUACACUGGAACUGUGAAUGUGAAUUGUCCCAUGAAUGUGAAUGUAACUUGUAUCCGGGUCUGCACUUUUUCAGGAAGUAGAGUAACCUGUGCUGAAGGCCUGUUGUGGUGAUGACGUGUCAUGACAUGUUUUGGCCCAAAUCUGCAGUGACUUUGAAAAAGUGGAAGCUCCUCUGAAUAUUGUGGAGUUUCUUGAUUUUGUGUUAAUUUCUAUGAUCACAAAAAGGUGAAAUUCUAGACUGACACAUGGAAGAUAUGGAAUGAUAACAGAAGAAUGUGACGUUGGGUUGUACCGUGUAUUUUUUUCAUGUAGCUUAAUUGUUUAGUAUAAAUGAAGGCAAGUGUGUGUUCUGUUCAUCUCUGCAGUCGUGUGUUCCCUGAUAGUCAAUGAUUGCUGGAGCUCUGGAAAUAGCAGGUGAGAUUGCAGGCCGGAGUCGCGUCGCUGUCUAGGGAACCAAAGUCAACCUCCCCUACUCCUGAGACCACAGUGUGACUGAGAGCCUAGACUACAUGGCUACUUGGAACAUGAACAUGUUGCAGACACAGGAUCUUAUGAAGUCAGCGCAGGCAGCCCUGGAAAAGAAGAGUCCGAAAGACGUGCCCUUCUCCAAGCUUUAAAGGAGAAGAUCCAGGGCUGUUGAAGCUGCGGUGGAACUGAGACAUCAUCAUCCACAGAUCUUUAGUUCUUCUUGCUAAGUCUCAGUUUCUUUUUAGUCUUUUUAUUUUUAGACUGGUCAAAAGACUGAUUAGUGGAAGUGAAAUGAUGGAUGAACUUUUAAUUACUUGCUUUAUUAUUUGCAGGUGCCUUGUACAGUAAGACAGGGUAACUAAUACUCAAAAGCUUGUUUUGUGUGUUAACAUGUACAGUAGAUGGACAUAUUUUUUCUGGUCCUGUGUGACUGCAGAAUGUAGUGCAGUUAACACAGUAAAUUUCCUUGGAUGCUCACUUUUAACUCGAGGAGGUCACAGUUUGCCCAGACAUCUUUUAUUUAAAUCCGUCAAUCUGUCACCCACACGUCAUUCUGGGGGACGAAGAGGAGGAAGCUGGACAGAUACAUUUAUUUAUUAUUGCUGUUUCCUCAGUCCAGUGCAGAAAGAAGAAAAACUACACAACUGAUUUAAAAUAAAAAUAUAGAAAACAAUCUAAUGUAAGGUUCUGAUCCGGUUUGCUUUCAGCAGGAAGGCUGUCCUCUUUCCUGUUGCUCUUUCCCUUCUAUUAGUCCAUUUGUCCAGUCUGAAUCGGUUUGAUUGUUUGAUUCGUUUCGAGACGAUUCAGAGUCAAGUAAUUUUCUAGUGAGAGUCGCACACUUCCAAACGAACUAGACUGAGAUGAGUAUUUGAUUCUCACUAGAAAGUGAUUAGACUCUGAAUCAACUCAAAAUGAAUCAGUCAAACUGAUUCAGACUUGAUAAAAGGACUAUGAGAUGUGAUUAAGAUAUAUAUUCCAAUGUUUUGCUUUACAAUUCCACUGUGUGUGUGUGCGCGCCUGUGUGUGUUUUUCAGGAGAACGAGAAACUCUGACACGAGUACAUCCUGACCAUUGGUACUGUGCACACAUCAACAUACACACACAUCUCCAUGCUAGACAUCUCAGGAGCUUUCACACACAGUGCUAGGAAUAUCCCGGGACAGAGAAACGCACCUCCUAAGUGAGCGAGUUUAGCGUCAACCGGUGAAAUUUGCUGUAGCGCGAACGCUUCGCCUCUGUGAGCUUCACUCUCUGUCAGGUUCACUGUAAUUAGACAUAAAAUGUACAUAAUUAUUUUGCAUACAUUUAGGAUUUAAUGUUUUUUUUUUUUUUUUACUCUUCAAGGAACAGAAAUGAUCUUUCGAGGCAGCUUCUUCAUCACUACCUGCUCCGUUUGACUCAAAAAUGUAACGACCGGUUUCAAAAAGUCACGAUGUCUUCAGUUCAUGUGAUUUUACUGUUGAAUUUAAACAGGAAAUGUGAAAUAUUUUUGUUCCUUUAUGUUUCCUCUACUGUCUUUUUGCUGUGAUCUUGAACACAGUUGUAUUUUUUUUUUAAAAGAAUACAUAAAUGAUCAUUCUAUUUCUCUCAC